CGGUCGCUAAUACCCCAUAUGCCUCCGGGUGAAAAGUAAUUCGCCUGAAGAUGAGUUCGCGUCAGAUUAGCUAGUUGGUGGGGUAAGAGCCUACCAAGGCGACGAUCUGUAGCUGGUCUGAAGAGGAUGAUCAGCCACACUGGGACUGGAGACACGGCCCAGACUCCUACGGGAGGCAGCAGUGGGGAAUUUUCCGCAAUGGGCGCAAAGCCUGACGGAGCAAGACCGCGUGGGGGAUGACGGCCUAAUGGUUUGUAAACCCCUUUUCUCUGGGAAGAAGACUGACGGUACCAGAGGAAUCAGCCUCGGCUAACUCCGUGCCAGCAGCCGCGGUAAUACGGAGGAGGCAAGCGUUAUCCGGAAUUAUUGGGCGUAAAGCGUCCGUAGGUGGUUAUUCAAGUCUGCUGUCAAAGCGUGGGGCUUAACUCCAUAGAGGCAGAGGAAACUGAGUGACUAGAGUGCGGUAGGGGUCGAGGGAAUUCCCAGUGUAGCGGUGAAAUGCGUAGAUAUUGGGAAGAACACCAGUGGCGAAAGCGCUCGGCUGGGCCUGCACUGACACUGAGGGACGAAAGCUAGGGGAGCGAAAGGGAUUAGAUACNCCUGUAGUCCUAGCCGUAAACGAUGGAUACUAGGUGUUGCUCGUCAUCGACCCGAGCAGUGCCGU
rnacentral:rRNA from 1 species